AGUCAGUCACUGAGGAAGCCUUCUCUGUCUUCUCUAAGGCAGAGGUAGGUGCUCUAUCCACAGUAGGGGAAGAAGCAGCCCACAUACAGUCUGAAGAAAAUGUGGAUCUGGCCAUGAUUUUGGAACAGAGAUUCAAACUAAUGAUGCAGAAUGUUUCAUCUGAUAAUGUGUGCUUACUACAUUUUCCGAGACCAAGACUACAUUCUAGCUCUCCAUUACCUAAAUGAAAUAUAUUGAGUGCCUGCCUCUAAAGAAGAAUUCAAUGAAGAAAUGAAAAGGCAGACUUGGGAGGUAUAUAUUAGUUGCUUAUACAUGACAACUUUUAUGAAUUAGAAUGAACUUCUGAGCUGAUGAAGCUGAGUCCUCACGGGUGAUGGUAGUGUAUUCCAGAGGCAAGCAUGCCUAACACAGUGAACAUUUUUAUUCAAUAAACAGUGAGAUUAGUAGCUAUUACUACACGGCAAAGUGCUAUGGGCAUCAAAUGUGGGAAGAAGCAAGUUCAGAGAACAGCAAGAAGAUUACAAUAAAACAGAUUAGUGAAAUUAAAGGAAAUAAUGAAAUAAAUAAAAAUAAAAUCAAAGGUAAUAAUAAAAAUAUCCACAGAU